GACGAACGCUGGCGGCGUGCUUAACACAUGCAAGUCGAACGGAAAGGCCCUGCUUUUGUGGGGUGCUCGAGUGGCGAACGGGUGAGUAACACGUGAGUAACCUGCCCUUGACUUUGGGAUAACUUCAGGAAACUGGGGCUAAUACCGGAUAGGAGCUCCUGCUGCAUGGUGGGGGUUGGAAAGUUUCGGCGGUUGGGGAUGGACUCGCGGCUUAUCAGCUUGUUGGUGGGGUAGUGGCUUACCAAGGCAUUGACGGGUAGCCGGCCUGAGAGGGUGACCGGCCACAUUGGGACUGAGAUACGGCCCAGACUCCUACGGGAGGCAGCAGUGGGGAAUAUUGCACAAUGGGCGGAAGCCUGAUGCAGCAACGCCGCGUGCGGGAUGACGGCCUUCGGGUUGUAAACCGCUUUCGCCUGUGACGAAGCGUGAGUGACGGUAAUGGGUGAAGAAGCACCGGCUAACUACGUG
rnacentral:rRNA from 1 species